rnacentral:rRNA from 1 species
ACGAACCUGGCGGCAGGCUUAACACAUGCAAGUCGAGCGCCCCGCAAGGGGAGCGGCAGACGGGAGAGUAACACGUGGGAACGUGCCUUUUGGUUCGGAACAACUCAGGGAAACUUGGGCUAAUACCGGAUAAGCCCUUACGGGGAAAGAUUUAUCGCCAAAAGAUCGGCCCGCGUCUGAUUAGCUUGUUGGUGAGGUAAUGGCUCACCAAGGCUACGAUCAGUAGCUGGUCUGAGAGGAUGAUCAGCCUCACUGGGACUGAGACACGGCCCAGACUCCUACGGGAGGCAGCAGUGGGGAAUAUUGGACAAUGGGCGAAAGCCUGAUCCAGCCAUGCCGCGUGAGUGAUGAAGGCCUUAGGGUUGUAAAGCUCUUUCGACGGGGAAGAUAAUGACGGUACCCGUAGAAGAAGCCCCGGCUAACUUCGUGCCAGCAGCCGCGGUAAUACGAAGGGGCUAGCGUUGCUCGGAAUCACUGGGCGUAAAGCGCACGUAGGCGGACUCUUAAGUCAGGGGUGAAAUCCUGGAGCUCAACUCCAAGAACUGCCCUUGAUACUGGGAGUCUUGAGUCCGGAAGAGGUAAGUGGAACUGCGAGUGUAGAGUGAAAUUCGUAGAUAUUCCCAAGAACACCAAUGGCGAAGGCGGCUUACUGGUCCGGUACUGACGCCUGA